GAUGAACGCUGGCGGCGUGCCUAACACAUGCAAGUCGAACGGAGCUUUUAUGGAAUGCGACUUCGGUCAAAUGAAGUUUAAGCUUAGCGGCGGACGGGUGAGUAACGUGUGGGCAACCUGCCUCAUACAGUGGAAUAAUCAUUGGAAACGGUGACUAAUACCGCAUGUCACCACGGGAGGGCAUCCUCCUGUGAGAAAAGGAGCAAUCCGGUAUGAGAUGGGCCCGCAUCUGAUUAGCUAGUUGGUGAGGUAACGGCUCACCAAGGCGACGAUCUGUAGCCGAACUGAGAGGUUGAUCGGCCGCAUUGGGACUGAGACACGGCCCAGACUCCUACGGGAGGCAGCAGUGGGAAUAUUGCGCAAUGGGGGGAACCCUGACGCAGCAACGCCGCGUGCAGGAAGAAGGUCUUCGGAUUGUAAACUGUUGUCGCAAGGGAAGAAGACAGUGACGGUACCUUGUGAGAAAGUCACGGCUAACUACGUGCCAG
rnacentral:rRNA from 1 species